rnacentral:rRNA from 1 species
UACGUAGGGUGCGAGCGUUAUCCGGAUUCACUGGGUUUAAAGGGUGUGUAGGCGGGCUAUUAAGUCAGUGGUGAAAUCUCCGGGCUCAACCCGGAAACUGCCAUUGAUACUAUUAGUCUUGAAUAUCGUUGAGGUAGGCGGAAUAUAUCAUGUAGCGGUGAAAUGCAUAGAUAUGAUAUAGAACACCGAUUGCGAAGGCAGCUUGCUAAACGAUUAUUGACGCUGAGGCACGAAAGCGUGGGGAUCAAACAGG